rnacentral:rRNA from 1 species
UACGGAGGAUGCGAGCGUUAUCCGGAUUUAUUGGGUUUAAAGGGUGCGUAGGCGGAACGUUAAGUCAGCGGUAAAAUUGCGGGGCUCAACCCUGUACCGCCGUUGAAACUGGCGUUCUAGAGUGGGCGAGAAGUAUGCGGAAUGCGAGGUGUAGCGGUGAAAUGCAUAGAUAUCACGCAGAACUCCGAUUGCGAAGGCAGCAUACCGGCGCCCGACUGACGCUGAGGCACGAAAGCGUGGGGAUCGAA